rnacentral:piRNA from 1 species
UUCAUAGAUCAUUUGUAAGGAUUCUUUAC